rnacentral:lncRNA from 1 species
UAGAAGUCAGGUCGGAUCAAGCCAUAGUACGGAAAAAACUAUGCUACCUGUGAGCCCCGUCCAAGGACGUUAAAAGAAGUCAGGCCAUCACAAAUGCCAUAGCUUGAGUAAACUAUGCUGCCUGUAGCUCCACCUGAGAAGGUGUAAAAAAUCUGGGAGGCCACAAACCAUGGAAGCUGUACGCAUGG